CAGCCGCGGUAAUUCCAGCUCCAAUAGCGUAUAUUAAAGUUGUUGCAGUUAAAAAGCUCGUAGUUGAAUUUCGGGACUAAUAUGUUGGUCGUGCCUCGGUACGUACUGAUAUUUUUGGUUUCUCCCUUCUGACGAACCUUGAUGUCAUUAAUUUGGUGUCUUGGGAAAUCAGGACUGUUACUUUGAAAAAAUUAGAGUGUUUAAAGCAAGCUAACGCUUGAAUACAUUAGCAUGGAAUAAUGAAAUAGGACGUUCGAUCCUAUUUUGUUGGUUUCUAGGAUUGACGUAAUGAUUAAUAGGGAUAGUUGGGGGCAUUAGUAUUCAAUUGUCAGAGGUGAAAUUCUUGGAUUUAUUGAAGACUAACUACUGCGAAAGCAUUUGCCAAGGAUGUUUUCAUUAAUCAAGAACGAAAGUUAGGGGGAUCGAAGACGAUCAGAUACCGUCGUAGUCUUAACCAUAAACUAUGCCGACUAGGGAUCGGAUGAUGUUAAUUUUUUAAUGACUCAUUCGGCGCCUUACG
rnacentral:rRNA from 1 species